rnacentral:guide_RNA from 1 species
ACUGUAAAGGGGGAACUAUAACCCCU